rnacentral:pre_miRNA from 1 species
UGUUUGAUUUUGGAUACGGUCGCCAUGUAGUUUGAUGAUCAUACAAUCAGUGUUUCGGUGACAUGUAUUGAGGUAGAAUA